AACGAACGCUGGCGGCAUGCCUAACACAUGCAAGUCGAACGAGACCUUCGGGUCUAGUGGCGCAGGGGUGCGUAACGCGUGGGAAUCUGCCCUUAGGUUCGGAAUAACUCCCCGAAAGGGGUUCUAAUACCGGAUAAUGUCUUCGGACCAAAGAUUUAUCGCCUUUGGAUGGGCCCGCGUUGGAUUAGCUAGUUGGUAGGGUAAAAGCCUACCAAGGCGACGAUCCAUAGCUGGUCUGAGAGGAUGAUCAGCCACACUGGGACUGAGACACGGCCCAGACUCCUACGGGAGGCAGCAGUGGGGAAUAUUGGACAAUGGGCGAAAGCCUGAUCCAGCAAUGCCGCGUGAGUGAUGAAGGCCUUAGGGUUGUAAAGCUCUUUUACCCGGGAUGAUAAUGACAGUACCGGGAGAAUAAGCUCCGGCUAACUCCGUG
rnacentral:rRNA from 1 species